CCUACGGGAGGCAGCAGUAAGGAAUAUUGGUCAAUGGACGCAAGUCUGAACCAGCCAUGCCGCGUGGAGGAUGAAGGUCCUCUGGAUUGUAAACUUCUUUUAUUUGGGAAGAAACCCACGGUUUCUACUGUGGUUGACGGUACCAGAUGAAUAAGCACCGGCUAACUCCGUGCCAGCAGCCGCGGUAAUACGGAGGGUGCGAGCGUUAUCCGGAUUCACUGGGUUUAAAGGGUGCGUAGGCGGGCAGGUAAGUCAGUGGUGAAAUCCCCGAGCUUAACUUGGGAACUGCCGUUGAUACUAUCUGUCUUGAAUGCUGUGGAGGUAAGCGGAAUAUGUCAUGUAGCGGUGAAAUGCUUAGAUAUGACAUAGAACACCUAUUGCGAAGGCAGCUUGCUACACAGCUAUUGACGCUGAGGCACGAAAGCGUGGGGAUCAAACAGGAUUAGAUACCCUUGUAGUC
rnacentral:rRNA from 1 species